AUGUUCUCUGUAGCUUUGCUGCUGCUGCUGGCUGCUGGAUCCUGUGUGAAAUGUGAAACGUUGACACAGCCAGCGUCUCUGACUGUCCGGCCAGGUCAAACUCUGACCAUCACCUGUCAGGUCUCUUAUUCUGUUAGCAGCUAUUGGACUGCUUGGAUCAGACAGCCUGCAGGGAAAGGACUGGAGUGGAUUGGAGUGAAAUCAACUAGCUAUGAAUCCUACAAAGAUUCACUGAGAAACAAGUUCAGUAUUUCUGUUGCCUCUUCCAGCAACACAGUGACUCUAACUGGACAGAAUGUGCAGCCUGAAGACACUGCUGUGUAUUAUUGUGCCAGUGAUCGUGACUACGCUGCUUUUGACUACUGGGGAAAGGGAACAAUGGUCACCGUCUCCUCAGACACUCCAAAGGCCCCUACUGUGUUUCCUCUGGUAGAAUGUGGUUCUGAGACCGAUAACACGCUGACUGUUGGCGUCCUCACCACCGGCUUCACGCCCGCCUCCCUGACCUUCAGCUGUGCCACUGCCAGCGGGACGAACCUGCCCGACUCUCUUCAGUACCCUGCAGUUCAGAAGGACUGCUACUAUUCAGCGGUCAGCCAGAUCUGAGUGAAGAGAUCAGAC